GUAGGUGGCAAGCGUUGUCCGGAAUUAUUGGGCGUAAAGCGCGCGCAGGCGGUCCUUUAAGUCUGAUGUGAAAGCCCACGGGCUCAACCGUGGAGGGUCAUUGGAAACUGGGGGACUUGAGUACAGAAGAGGAAAGCGGAAUUCCAAGUGUAGCGGUGAAAUGCGUAGAGAUUUGGAGGAACACCAGUGGCGAAGGCGGCUUUCUGGUCUGUAACUGACGCUGAGGCGCGAAAGCGUGGGGAGCAAACAGGAUUAGAUACCCUGGUAGUCCGCGCCGUAAACGAUGAGUGCUAAGUGUUAGGGGGUUUCCGCCCCUUAGUGCUGCAGCUAACGCAUUAAGCACUCCGCCUGGGGAGUACGGCCGCAAAGGCUGA
rnacentral:rRNA from 1 species